CCAGACUCCUACGGGAGGCAGCAGUGGGGGAUAUUGCACAAUGGGGGGAACCCUGAUGCAGCGACGCCGCGUGGGUGAAGGAGUAUUUCGGUAUGUAAAGCCCUAUCGGCAGGGAAGAAGCAAGACGGUACCUGACUAAGAAGCCCCGGCUAACUACGUGCCAGCAGCCGCGGUAAUACGUAGGGGGCGAGCGUUAUCCGGAAUUACUGGGUGUAAAGGGAGCGUAGACGGUUAAGCAAGUCUGGAGUGAAAGGCGGGGGCCCAACCCCCGGACUGCUCUGGAAACUGUGUAACUGGAGUGCAGGAGAGGUAAGCGGAAUUCCUAGUGUAGCGGUGAAAUGCGUAGAUAUUAGGAGGAACACCAGUGGCGAAGGCGGCUUACUGGACUGUAACUGACGUUGAGGCUCGAAAACGUGGGGAGCAAACAGGAUUAGAUACCCCUGUA
rnacentral:rRNA from 1 species